rnacentral:rRNA from 1 species
GUAGGGGCCAAACGUUUGUCCGGAUUUAUUGGGCGUAAAGGGCUCGUAGGCGGUUCAACAAGUCGAUCGUGAAAACCCGGGGCUCAACCCCGGGACGCCGGUCGAAACUGUUGUGACUAGGGUCCGGUAGAGGUGAGUGGAAUUCUCGGUGUAGCGGUGGAAUGCGCAGAUAUCGAGAGGAACACCAGUUGCGAAGGCGGCUCACUGGGCCGGUACCGACGCUAAGGAGCGAAAGCAUGGGGAGCAAACAGGAUUAGAUACCCUGGUAGUCCAUGCCGUAAACUGUGAACACUAGGUGUGGCGGAUCUAUUGAUGUCUGCCGUACCGUAGCUAACGCGUUAAGUGUUCCGCCUGGGGAGUACGGCCGCAAGGCUAA